GCGGGCAUGGCGGAAUUGGCAGACGCACUAGAUUCAGGUUCUAGCGGGAAACCGUGGGGGUUCGAAUCCCUUUGCCCGCA
rfam:Geosporobacter ferrireducens strain IRF9, complete genome.